rnacentral:lncRNA from 1 species
GGGCGGUUUGAGACCAGCCUGGGCAAUAUAGCAACCGUCCUGCUGGCACACAAACCCUCCUGCCUCUAAACAGAAUUUGAUGGGCCCCUUGGCAAAGGCAGGUUUUAGAAACUCCUCGGGGGCUGGAGCGCAAGGAGAGUCUGAGCCAGGCCAAGCCUCCCUGGGGGAACAUGGCUGAAGGAAGACCUACAGACAUCUCCCCUGGGUGGGAGCCUGUGUUCAGAAGCAGCAGAUCCAAGUCUCUGUGUGGCUGAGGAGAGGACAUCCUGCUGGCAACACGGAGAAUGCCAUAUAACAGCUAAGACAGAGAUCAGAGCCAUGCAGCUGCAAGCCGAAGCAGGCCAAGGAUUGCCAGCAAACCAAGAGAGGCUGGAAGAAGAGAGAAGGAUCUUUCCCUGCUGAUUUCACAGGGAGCAUGGCCCUUGAUCUCAGGACCUUGACCCCAGAACUGUUUCUGGCUGCCAAUACCAAGUUCCUCCUCUCCAUCUCACAUUCAAAGAGCACACAGAGAGGCUCUAAUUGGGUCUUUCUACAUCCUGUGUCCGUACAGAGCUCUCGCGUUUGGGUGGGGACUUUGCACCGUGACCAGUCUAAGAUCAGCACCAGCCCCUGGUCCAAUCAGCUGUGGCCAAGACCCUUGAAGACACAGGCA